AAAAAUAUAGUCUAAGUUCAUGCCAGCACAGAACAAUUCAAAUAUGGCGAAAAGAAUGCAUCCCGUUUGCAGUGACAUACAGAAGCAGCAUUUCUUGGCACGAAUCAUAUUCCAAUCAAAUGUUUCUCAUUAAUUUAACAUUACUUUUGAUUUUGACAAAGAACACAAAAAUAUCCUGCCAAAUUAGACAAACUAAAUUCCCCGCAAAAGUAUGCUACAGUCUCGUAGAUACAAUUUUCCACAACAAAUAAAAAACAUAUUUUUGGCUUUACGACAUAUCCAGCUGCAUCAAUGCCAACGUUUGCUGUGGGGCAUUUCCUCAGACGUCUUGCUGUGAAUAACUCACCGAUCCAACCGACUAUGAGGCACCAAUAGAUCGCACUGGAAUAGACACCGAGAUCGACGGUCACGUUAACUUUCAAUGCUGUUGCAAUAAUACUAUAUAGAAAUUGAUAUAGCAUCUGGAUGACUUCAAAAGUCAGUGUGAUCAAAAUCAGAUGAAUAAAGUCCUAUUUGCAUUCGGAUUAAACUAUGUAUCA